rnacentral:rRNA from 1 species
GACGAACGCUGGCGGCGUGCUUAACACAUGCAAGUCGAACGGAAAGGCCCGGCUUUUGUGGGGUGCUCGAGUGGCGAACGGGUGAGUAACACGUGAGUAACCUGCCCUUGACUUUGGGAUAACUUCAGGAAACUGGGGCUAAUACCGGAUAGGAGCUCCUGCUGCAUGGUGGGGGUUGGAAAGUUUCGGCGGUUGGGGAUGGACUCGCGGCUUAUCAGCUUGUUGGUGGGGUAGGGGCUUACCAAGGCUUUGACGGGUAGCCGGCCUGAGAGGGUGACCGGCCACAUUGGGACUGAGAUACGGCCCAGACUCCUACGGGAGGCAGCAGUGGGGAAUAUUGCACAAUGGGCGGAAGCCUGAUGCAGCAACGCCGCGUGCGGGAUGACGGCCUUCGGGUUGUAAACCGCUUUCGCCUGUGACGAAGCGUGAGUGACGGUAAUGGGUAAAGAAGCACCGGCUAACUACGUG